GACAGAGGGUGCAAACGUUGUUCGGAAUUACUGGGCGUAAAGCGCGUGUAGGCGGCCCUGCAAGUCGGGUGUGAAAUCCCGAGGCUCAACCUCGGGUCUGCAGUCGAUACGGGCAAACUAGAGUAUUGCAGGGGAGACUGGAAUUCCUGGUGUAGCAGUGAAAUGCGUAGAGAUGCGGAGGAACACCGAUGGCGAAGGCAGCCCCCUGGGCUGACACUGACGCUCAGGCACGAAAGCGUGGGGAGCAAACAGG
rnacentral:rRNA from 1 species